rnacentral:ncRNA from 1 species
CUCUAAGGGGUGCUGCUUUAUUUAAGUGGCUGAGAUUAUACCCAUUUUAACCUGCUCAGGAUAAUGCCUGCGAAGGGAAGUGAUAUA